UUUGCCUACGGGGCGCAGCAGUGGGGAAUAUUGGACAAUGGGGGAAACCCUGAUCCAGCGACGCCGCGUGAGUGAAGAAGUAUUUCGGUACGUAAAGCUCUAUCAGCAGGAAAGAAAAUGACGGUACCUGACUAAGAAGCCCCGGCUAACUACGUGCCAGCAGCCGCGGUAAUACGUAGGGGGCAAGCGUUAUCCCGAUUUACUGGGUGUAAAGGGAGCGUAGACGGCAUGGCAAGUCUGAAGUGAAAGCCCGGGGCUCAACCGCGGGACUGCUUUGGAAACUGUUAAGCUGGAGUGCAGGAGAG
rnacentral:rRNA from 1 species